rnacentral:tRNA from 1 species
GGGGUUGUGGCUCAGUGGUAGAGCACAUGCCUGUCAUGUGUGAGGCACUGGAUUCUAUCCUCAGCACCG